rnacentral:rRNA from 1 species
AUUGAACGCUGGCGGCAGGCCUAACACAUGCAAGUCGAGCGGAUGAAGGGAGCUUGCUCCUGGAUUCAGCGGCGGACGGGUGAGUAAUGCCUAGGAAUCUGCCUGGUAGUGGGGGAUAACGUCCGGAAACGGGCGCUAAUACCGCAUACGUCCUGCGGGUGAAAGUGGGGGAUCUUCGGACCUCACGCUAUCAGAUGAGCCUAGGUCGGAUUAGCUAGUUGGUGGGGUAAAGGCCUACCAAGGCGACGAUCCGUAACUGGUCUGAGAGGAUGAUCAGUCACACUGGAACUGAGACACGGUCAAGACUCCUACGGGAGGCAGCAGUGGGGAAUAUUGGACAAUGGGCGAAAGCCUGAUCCAGCCAUGCCGCGUGUGUGAAGAAGGUCUUCGGAUUGUAAAGCACUUUAAGUUGGGAGGAAGGGCAGUAAGUUAAUACCUUGCUGUUUUGACGUUACCAACAGAAUAAGCGCCGGCUAACUUCGUG